rnacentral:rRNA from 1 species
AACGAACGCUGGCGGCAUGCCUAACACAUGCAAGUCGAACGAGAUCUUCGGAUCUAGUGGCGCACGGGUGCGUAACGCGUGGGAAUCUGCCCUUGGGUACGGAAUAACUCAGAGAAAUUUGUGCUAAUACCGUAUAAUGUCUUCGGACCAAAGAUUUAUCGCCCAAGGAUGAGCCCGCGUAGGAUUAGCUAGUUGGUGAGGUAAAAGCUCACCAAGGCGACGAUCCUUAGCUGGUCUGAGAGGAUGAUCAGCCACACUGGGACUGAGACACGGCCCAGACUCCUACGGGAGGCAGCAGUGGGGAAUAUUGGACAAUGGGCGAAAGCCUGAUCCAGCAAUGCCGCGUGAGUGAUGAAGGCCCUAGGGUUGUAAAGCUCUUUUACCCGGGAUGAUAAUGACAGUACCGGGAGAAUAAGCUCCGGCUAACUUCGUGCCAGCAGCCGCGGUAAGGUGCGCGAGU